rnacentral:lncRNA from 1 species
AACCCGAAAGGGAGGCAUAGGAAAAAAUGAUCAUCUCAUUGGAUUGAAAACUCGAAAGGGAGAUCCAGGCAAAAAUUAGAGACAUAAAAUAGAAAAUUAUCCUGGUAGAUUGAGUACCCCACCUCGGGGCAAUCUAGGAAAAAAUUAGGGAUUAUGGCAAGUAACCGCAACUGGCUGGUCUUGAUCGUUGAAGCAGUUUUGAAAAGUCAUUUGGUU